GAUGAACGCUGGCGGCGUGCUUAACACAUGCAAGUCGAACGGUGACAGAGGAGCUUGUUCUUCUGGCUGAGUGGCGAACGGGUGAGUAACACGUGAGUAACCGGCCCCAGACUUUGGAAUAGGCGCUGGAAACGGCGUCUAAUACCGGAUACGAGACAGAGCUGCAUGGAUACUGUCUGAAAUGUUCUUCGGUCUGGGAUGGACUCGCGGCCUAUCAGCUUGUUGGUGAGGGAACGGCUCACCAAGGCAACGACGGGUAGCCGGCCUGUGAGGGCGACCGGCCACACUGGUACUGAGACACGGCGCAGACUCCUACGGGAGACAGCAGUGGGGAAUAUUGCACAAUGGUCGAAAGCCUGAUGCAGCGACGCCGCGUGAGGGAUGACGGCCUUCGGGGUGUGAACAUCUGUCAGCAGGGAAGCAGCGAUAGUGACGGUACCUGAAGAAGAAGCACCGGCUAACUACGUG
rnacentral:rRNA from 1 species